rnacentral:rRNA from 1 species
GGAGGGCAAGUCUGGUUGAUCCUGCCAGGAGGGCAAGUCUGGUUUAUCCUUCCACCCAAGGCAAUACCACCGCUAACUGUAGUACUAAUACCUAAAGUACGCAUACCGUAGGUAUGUAUCUAAUGCUCACAGCCCUAGGCUUGUGUCUGAACACAGAGCAUUCAAGAGGAUUCGUCCUCUAGAAACCGUUACCAUAGCGGUCAAAUAGUAGUCUCACUUCUCUAUCAGCUAGGCGGUUAGGUAAGGUCUAAUCACGGCAACAACGGAUACGGAGAAUCAGUGUUCGAUUCCGGAGAGGGAGCCUGACAAACGGCUACCAUAUCUAAGGACAGCAGCAGGCGCGUAAAUUACCCAAUCAUAACACCUCAUGGAGGUAGCGACAACCUAUAGUGACCUUCUGGAUUUAUUCUAGGAGGGUACUACAUUAGUAGUUUGCAAUGUGUCCACUGUAAACAACUGAACGAGUAACAAUUGGAGGG